rnacentral:rRNA from 1 species
UACAGAGGGUGCAAGCGUUGUUCGGAAUUACUGGGCGUAAAGCGCGUGUAGGCGGUUUGAUAAGUCAGAUGUGAAAUCCCUUGGCUCAACCGAGGAACUGCAUCUGAUACUGUUAGACUAGAGUGUCAGAGGGGAUGGCGGAAUUCCUGGUGUAGAGGUGAAAUUCGUAGAUAUCAGGAGGAACACCUGUGGCGAAGGCGGCCAUCUGGAGGAUUACUGACGCUGAGACGCGAAAGCAUGGGGAGCAAACAGG